UAUAUAUAUAUAUAUAGUAUGCAUUGUAUCUUUUUAUAAAGGUAGAAAUGGACAAUGUAUAAAUAUUCCACAUUGUGGAAAUUAUAAUGGUCUAAUCUCAUGGUUUGUGUUGUAAAAAUAAAUACUGUGAUGGAAUAUUUAAAGAACCUGUUAAAAAAGAAAAUUCAGGAACCGAAGCACAUGUAAAGGAAGCAAAAACUCAGGAACAAGCACAAUUGCUCAACUUUUGUCUGUAGAAGAUAAAAUCGAGAUAAAGAUCCGAGAAUCCACUGCAUUGUGUUUUUUUGAAAUGAAAAUAGUGAAGGAAGAUUUGACUCUAGUCUUCUUGAAUGUGAAAAAAUUCAUCCAAUAUGCACACUGUCACUGCACAUACUGUCAAUGUACACACUUUAAGAUGGGCAAUUUCAAGAUAUUAUGCAGAAGCACGAUUGUUAACUUUAAAGCCAUUCUAUUCUAUCAUCUUUAAACAUAAUGAAACAAAGUAAGAAAUUUGGUUACCAGAUA
rnacentral:lncRNA from 1 species